rnacentral:rRNA from 1 species
AGCAGCCGCGGUAAUUCCAGCUCCAAUAGCGUAUAUUAAAGUUGUUGCAGUUAAAAAGCUCGUAGUUGAAUUUCGGGGUCAGUAAGUUGGUCGUGCCACUGGUAUGUUGUACUGGCUUUACUGAUCCCUCCUUCUUGUAGAACCGUAAUGCCAUUAAGUUGGUGUUGCGGGGAAACAGGACUGUUACUUUGAAAAAAUUAGAGUGUUUAAAGCAAGCUAACGCUUGAAUACAUUAGCAUGGAAUAAUGAAAUAGGACGAACGAUCCUAUUUUGUUGGUUUCUAGGAUUGACGUAAUGAUUAAUAGGGAUAGUUGGGGGCAUUAGUAUUCAAUUGUCAGAGGUGAAAUUCUUGGAUUUAUUGAAGACUAACUACUGCGAAAGCAUUUGCCAAGGAUGUUUUCAUUAAUCAAGAACGAAAGUUAGGGGGAUCGAAGACGAUCAGAUACCGUCGUAGUCUUAACCAUAAACUAUGCCGACUAGGGAUCGGAUGAUGUUAAUUUUUAAUGACUCAUUCGGCGCC